rnacentral:rRNA from 1 species
AGUGGCGAACGGGUGAGUAAUACAUCGGAACGUGUCCUGUAGUGGGGGAUAGCCCGGCGAAAGCCGGAUUAAUACCGCAUACGCUCUGCGGAGGAAAGCGGGGGAUCUUCGGACCUCGCGCUACAGGGGCGGCCGAUGGCAGAUUAGCUGGUUGGUGGGGUAAAGGCCUACCAAGGCGACGAUCUGUAGCUGGUCUGAGAGGACGACCAGCCACACUGGGACUGAGACACGGCCCAGACUCAUACGGGAGGCAGCAGUGGGGAAUUUUGGACAAUGGGCGCAAGCCUGAUCCAGCAAUGCCGCGUGUGUGAAGAAGGCCUUCGGGUUGUAAAGCACUUUUGUCCGGAAAGAAAACCUCUGCCCUAAUACGGUGGGGGGAUGACGGUACCGGAAGAAUAAGCACCGGCUAACUACGUGCCAGCAGCCGCGGUAAUACGUAGGGUGCAAGCGUUAAUCGGAAUUACUGGGCGUAAAGCGUGCGCAGGCGGUUCGCUAAGACAGAUGUGAAAUCCCCGGGCUUAACCUGGGAACUGCAUUUGUGACUGGCGGGCUAGAGUAUGGCAGAGGGGGGUAGAAUUCCACGUGUAGCAGUGAAAUGCGUAGAGAUGUGGAGGAAUACCGAUGGCGAAGGCAGCCCCCUGGGCCAAUACUGACGCUCAUGCACGAAAGCGUGGGGAGCAAACAGGAUUAGAUACCCUGGUAGUCCACGCCCUAAACGAUGUCAACUAGUUGUCGGGUCUUCAUUGACUUGGUAACGUAGCUAACGCGUGAAGUUGACCGCCUGGGGAGUACGGUCGCAAGAUUAAAACUCAAAGGAAUUGACGGGGACCCGCACAAGCGGUGGAUGAUGUGGAUUAAUUCGAUGCAACGCGAAAAACCUUACCUACCCUUGACAUGUAUGGAAGUCUGCUGAGAGGUGGAUGUGCCCGAAAGGGAGCCAUAACACAGGUGCUGCAUGGCUGUCGUCAGCUCGUGUCGUGAGAUGUUGGGUUAAGUCCCGCAACGAGCGCAACCCUUGUCCCUAGUUGCUACGCAAGAGCAUUCCAGGGAUUCUGCCGGUGACAAACCGGAGGAAGGUGGGGAUGACGUCAAGUCCUCAUGGCCCUUAUGGGUAGGGCUUCACA